GUGAGUAGUUCAGAGUUUGAUCCUGGCUCAGGAUGAACGCUGGCGGCGUGCUUAACACAUGCAAGUCGAACGGACUUUACAUGAAGCCUAGCGAUUGUAAAGUUAGUGGCGGACGGGUGAGUAACGCGUGAAUAACCUGCCUUAUACUGGGGGACAACAGUUGGAAACGACUGCUAAUACCGCAUAAGCGCACUAAAGCUGCAUGGCUCAGUGUGAAAAACUCCGGUGGUAUAAGAUGGAUUCGCGUCUGAUUAGCUAGUUGGUGAGGUAACGGCUCACCAAGGCGACGAUCAGUAGCCGGCCUGAGAGGGUGAACGGCCACAUUGGGACUGAGACACGGCCCAA
rnacentral:rRNA from 1 species